GUUGCGUCAACAUCUUUAUAGUAAGACCAGAUCAGCAAACCACCAUUUUCUCUUUCCAAUUUCCUCCUCUUCUCUCUCAUCAUAUAAGCGCACUCUCCUAUGCAUUCCUAUGUUUCCUCCCUUUCUCAUCAAUCAAUAGGGUUUACUUUUUUCUCAGGUAUGCUAAACUCUCAUAUUUCUUCCUCUUCACACCCUCUGCUUCACCUCAUAUCAUUUCUUACACACUAAUUGAGCUGCUAUUGUGUGCAUAUUUUUUUUAUUUUUUGUGGGAAUCACCAGUUUUAAUUGUUGCUUCUUCCCUUUUGCUCAAUUUGGAUAUUUACUUGUAGUUUCCCAGUUAUCACUGCCUCUAAAGAUUCAUUUUUUUUGUAUUGCUUGACUACCAGUAUGAGCAGUUUGGGGGAAUUUUAUUGAAUUUACAUUGAUGGGGCGAUUUUGGGUGGUUUGAAAUUUGAAUUUCUAGAUAUUAUCUUUUCUUCUAGUUGGUAGUAGAAGAAGAAGAAUGGAUCCAAGAUUUCAUGGAAUCUUGAAUUCUUCGAGUGGAGUUGGAUUGGAGAAUCAAUCAAUUUCUGGCUAUUCAAAUGGGCAUAGAUUUGGGAUUAGUUAUCCAGAUCAGAAAUUAGUGAAUGGACAUAGAAAUCAGGGUUCCUCAUUUCAAGAACAUGGCAUUGGGGGUGUGCAUUUGGUCCUAGACCAACCCUUCUCGAACAGGAAUGGGGAGGGGGCUGUCUCCAGCUCAUUCUUGGACAUUGAUGAUGACUGUGAUUUCUCGGAUGCUGUCUUGAGGUACAUUGAUCAGAUACUGAUGGAGGAGGACAUGGAGGAGAAGACUCACAUGCUUCAGGAGUCAUUGGAUUUGCAGGCGAAGGAGAGGUCCUUCUACGAGGUUCUUGGGAAGAAGUACCCGCCUUCGCCACAGAAAGAACCAGGGGCCACUGGCCAUGAGUGUGGAGAUGAUAGUAAUCCUAAUUUUAGUUGCUUUAACUCAACAACUAGCAGUAGUGAUGGAAGUGGAUACCUAAUUGACAUUGUUGAUCCGAGUUGGAUGAUCAGCACUCGCGCGGAUCAUGAUGUCAGUACAUCUUGUCGUGCUGCUAAGUCAUCCGUUUGCUCCACAUUGAAUAGCACGAGCAAUUUCCUAGUAGACGGUUGGUUCUCUGACUCUCCAGUGAGCCCCCUUCAAGUACGUGAUAUGUACAACGAGAACCAGCUCGUGUGGAAUUUCAGAAGGGGGGCUGAUGAAGCUAGCAAAUUCCUUCCUGCCGGGAAUAAUUUGUUGGUGAGUGCCGGUGUAGACACCUUAGCCACUCAGGAUGCGAGGGGAGGGGAGUUUGAGGCUAGAAGCGAUGCGGAGAAGCAGUUGCCUUCUGCAUCACGGGGAAAGAAGAGUCGUUCUACAUCGGACAUGGAUUUGGAAGAAGAGAGAAGUUGUAAAGUGCUGGCUAAUUAUGCAGAAUCAGACUCAGAACUCCCUGUGGAGGAAUUUGAUGAUGUCUUGCUUCACACGCUGGGGGAUCCCGAGAAGAAGUUUGCAGCUUUCAGAGAAGUCCUGCAGAAUGCAUCUUGCAAGAGGACUCAGCAGAAUGGGAAGACGAAACGGCCUACUGGCGGGAGGGGCCGAGCUAAGAAACAGAACAAGAAAAAGGAAGUGAUAGAUUUGAGAACCCUUUUAAUCACCUGUGCACAGGCUGUUGCUGCUGAUGAUCGUCGGAGUGCCAGCGAUCUACUCAAACAGAUCAGGCAGCAUUCCUCUCCCUAUGGUGAAGGGAACCAGAGGCUAGCUCAUUAUUUUGCUGAUGGCCUCGAAGCACGUCUGGCUGGAACGGGUAGCCAGAUUCAUAAAGCUCUCGUUAGUAAGAAAACAGUCGCAGCCGAUUACUUGAAAGCUUACUAUACUUACCUAGCAUCGUCUCCGUUUAAGAAGAUCUCCAAUUUUACCUCAAACAAGACAAUAAUGUUUGAGUCAAUAAAAGCAGCACGUGUGCAUGUUAUAGAUUUUGGGAUCCUUUACGGCUUCCAGUGGCCGACAUUAAUCCAGCGUAUAUCUGACCGAGAAGGUGGUCCUCCAAUGCUUCGGAUAACUGGCAUAGACUUCCCACAGCCUGGCUUCCGACCUGCAGAGAAGAUUGAGGAGACAGGGCGUAGAUUGGCCCGUUAUGCCAAAAAGUUCAAUGUGCCAUUCGAGUACAAUGCUAUAGCUAAGAAGUGGGAGAACAUCAAAUUAGAGGACCUCAAUAUCAAGGAGGGUGAAUUUGUGAUCGUAAACAGCAUGUAUCGGGCCAAGAACUUACUCGAUGAGACGGUCCUGGCUGAGAGCUCGAGAUCUAUGGUUCUUAACUUAAUUAGGAAGAUCAAUCCGGACCUUUUCAUACAUGGGAUAGUAAAUGGGGCUUAUAGUGCGCCAUUCUUUGUCACUCGUUUCCGGGAGGUACUAUUCCACUUCUCAGCUCUAUUUGACAUGCUGGAGACGAACGUGCCUAGGGACCAGCCGGAGAGGAUGCUUAUUGAGAGGGACAUCUUUGGGAGCGAGGCAUUGAAUGUCAUUGCUUGUGAGGGCUGGGAGAGAGUUGAGAGACCCGAAACGUACAAGCAGUGGCAAGUACGUCACCUGAGGGCAGGCUUCACGCAAGUGCCUCUUGAUAGGUGGAUCAUGGAGAGGGCAAUCUACAAGGUCAGGACACAUUACCACAAAGACUUUGUCAUCGAUGAAGAUAGCCAUUGGAUGUUGAUGGGUUGGAAAGGGCGGAUCAUCUACGCCAUAUCGUGCUGGAAGCCCGUUUGAGGGGAGGUUUGUUCUGCAUCUCUUGGCUCUCGACUUUCAACAUCAUCUGACUUCUUCAAGGCUCAUGAAACGAACGGAGGCAGAGGUGGAGGCGAAGGCGUCACGUAGCUUGACAAAUUGGUUCCUCCAUUGAUGAAGGGUAACACUAGAAUUUCAAUACAGAAGUAUUCUUAACUUGUUAAUGGUGAUAAGAAAUCCAUAAUCUUGUUUGGUUGAUGCUGCAUUCAAUCAUGUGUAAAGGAACUAUUUGCUAGAAGAGUCUUGGUCACAUUUCAAAUUAUUUGCAAGGUCUCUCUGUAUGUUCUUGAAUAUGAUUUGAUACUUUAGAAGUGAACUUAUGAUAGCUCUUGUUUUUGGAGGACUAGUCAGUUGUUUAUAAAGUUCAUCAUGAAUUUUAUAAUAAUUUGAGUAUUUGGUUUGUUUUA